AACGGCCGUACCAUGCUGAAUAUACCGGUUCUCGUUAAUCACCGAAGUUAAGCAUCAUUGGGCGCGGUCAGUACUUGGGUGGGUGACCACCUGGGGGAACACCGCGUGCCGUU
rnacentral:rRNA from 1 species